rnacentral:lncRNA from 1 species
ACAUGGAAGUCUCCAAGCCUGUGCCAUCCACCUGCCAAGGAAAAGCACAAGCUCAAGGCUGUAGGAGGAAGAAAAAUCUAGUCCCUGGGGGUACUGAUGAAUCAGUUGGAUGGUGGGCGUUGGACUGUGAAUUCCUGAUGCCUCUGGGCAGUAGAGCGAGGGAAGCUGCACUGGCUGAGAGGCUGUGGAACCGGAUGAAAAAGCAGCCCCUGAGUCCUGUGGCGUUGGCUCAUACAGUUUGAACAUUUAUUCGCCUCCUGAGCUUGUACAACAGUCGUGGGAGUUGCUGCAGAAGCAAGCGAAAAGCCAGAUGAGCGCUUCUAAACUUAGAGAGAGGGAGAGCGCCUCAUCUCUUCCAUUUUCCAGGUAUUCCUGAGAUGAUUUAUUGGAGCUCAAAGCUUUGGGAGAGUUGGGGCCUUCCAUUCCCUCCAGUAAAUACUUGUUUUUCUUCCACCGCUGAGGCAAAUGCGGGGUGGCUGAUCACCUGGCAGACAUCUUAGGAAACAGGAGCACCGGUCUGGGAAACUGCUGGCCUGGCCUAACACCUGGCGCUGUGGUGCAGGCAAGAGGGCAGCCACUGAGGAUUCUUGAGGAGAGAGAGACCAUAGAAUGAAUGAAAGAGUUGGAAAGACUUUAAAGCUCUGGGAGGCUGAAUCCUUUAUUUCGCUGGAAGAAAAACUGAAUGCCAAGAGGGCCUCACUUUCCCCAAAGCUAUACAGCCAUCAGGGGCAAUGCUGGGAUUCCCCCAUGGAUCUCUUGACUCCUAAUACAGUGCUCUUUCUGAUAUGCCAUCUGGCUCCAUAAUGAACAUUGUGUUCCAGGAAAAUCAGUCUGCGCUGAACAGGAUGGAAUUGGGGCAGGACGUCCAGUGAGGAGGACAUUGAGGCAGUAGAGCAGUUGAUUGCCGAAUGACCACCUACCCUGACUUAAAAGAUCAACCUCAGGGAGGAUUGGAGCUUUCUAGAGUCUCUUGGGACAGCAGAAGCACAGGCCGGGUUGGACUGAAUCUUUAAGUGGACAUGAGGGACAAAGUACCUCCUGUUGGUAAACAUCUCACCACCAACCCACUGUGGUGGCUAAAAUCCCACCUUUAGUCCCAGCAACAUAUGAGCAUGUCACCAGGAGGUCUUCACAGGCCUGUCUGCCACCUGAGUGUAGACAUCUUUUGGCCCUGGAGCCCAGAGAGGCUGAAUGUGGAGAGGGUGGAGAGAGGUCUGUAGUCCUCAGAGAAGACUUGCAGCUUUUUCAGAGCCACCAACCCAUAAAAAAAAAAAUCCCCAAACAGAAAAAUCCUAACUGUGGUGACCAGGUACCUCCUGAGACAUGAAGCCUCCACUUACCUGGACCCUGGAGGCCUCUCCGGGCACAGCUGCCAAUGUUGAUCUUAGAUAAGACCACCAGCAAGUAAACAUCCACUGUGCAAAGCUGUGUUAUCUUUGGGGAACUGAAAUGUCCCCUGGGAGUUGGAAACUCCCCUAGCCACAUACCACAGAGUUGAGGAAGGAAGAGCUGAUGGACGGAAGAACCAUGGCGGGAGGAGUCAUCCGGAAGCUACCUCGCUGCCCUGUCAGUUACGGAACAGAGGAGAGAUGCCGGCUGGAGGACACAGCAAAUUUGAACCAAGAGGAGCUUGGAGGAAGCCCGAGCGACCUGGAGGGGACUGGCUGACCUUCCUCAUUCUUUUCAAGUGUGAAUAAUAACCAAGCCCAGUUUGGCAACUCCUUGAGGGUGAGGACGAAGCCCCAUUCUCCUUUUUGGAACUUGGUGGGGCUCAGGAAGCAGGUUCUCUCCAGUCGGUGGCUUUCCUUUCUGUUGCGGGUCUCUUGAGGGCCUGCCUUCAUGAAGGCACAUGAGUGACUCAUCAUUUGUGAAUUAAUUGCUAUAUGUGAAGGGCAUCUGAGAACAAAUUAUCUUCAUAGACUUUUCAUUAUAAUUUUAUUUGUACUGAAAAAAAAAAAAAAAAAA